rnacentral:rRNA from 1 species
CUACACAUGCAAGUCGAACGGUAGCACAGAGGAGCUUGCUCCUUGGGUGACGAGUGGCGGACGGGUGAGUAAUGUCUGGGAAACUGCCCGAUGGAGGGGGAUAACUACUGGAAACGGUAGCUAAUACCGCAUAACGUCGCAAGACCAAAGAGGGGGACCUUCGGGCCUCUUGCCAUCGGAUGUGCCCAGAUGGGAUUAGCUAGUAGGUGGGGUAACGGCUCACCUAGGCGACGAUCCCUAGCUGGUCUGAGAGGAUGACCAGCCACACUGGAACUGAGACACGGUCCAGACUCCUACGGGAGGCAGCAGUGGGGAAUAUUGCACAAUGGGCGCAAGCCUGAUGCAGCCAUGCCGCGUGUAUGAAGAAGGCCUUCGGGUUGUAAAGUACUUUCAGCGAGGAGGAAGGCGUUGUGGUUAAUAACCGCAGCGAUUGACGUUACUCGCAGAAGAAGCACCGGCUAACUCCGUGCCAGCAGCCGCGGUAAUACGGAGGGUGCAAGCGUUAAUCGGAAUUACUGGGCGUAAAGCGCACGCAGGCGGUCUGUCAAGUCGGAUGUGAAAUCCCCGGGCUCAACCUGGGAACUGCAUCCGAAACUGGCAGGCUAGAGUCUUGUAGAGGGGGGUAGAAUUCCAGGUGUAGCGGUGAAAUGCGUAGAGAUCUGGAGGAAUACCGGUGGCGAAGGCGGCCCCCUGGACAAAGACUGACGCUCAGGUGCGAAAGCGUGGGGAGCAAACAGGAUUAGAUACCC